CAUAGAAAUGAACAUAUUGUUGA
rnacentral:miRNA from 1 species